GCCUGGCUAGCUCAGCCGGUAGAGCAUUGGACUUUUAAUCCAAGGGUCGUGGGUUCGAGUCCCCCGUCAGGCG
rnacentral:tRNA from 1 species